AUUGAACGCUGGCGGCAGGCCUAACACAUGCAAGUCGAGCGGAUGAAGGGAGCUUGCUCCUGGAUUCAGCGGCGGACGGGUGAGUAAUGCCUAGGAAUCUGCCUGGUAGUGGGGGAUAACGUCCGGAAACGGGCGCUAAUACCGCAUACGUCCUGAGGGAGAAAGUGGGGGAUCUUCGGACCUCACGCUAUCAGAUGAGCCUAGGUCGGAUUAGCUAGUUGGUGGGGUAAAGGCCUACCAAGGCGACGAUCCGUAACUGGUCUGAGAGGAUGAUCAGUCACACUGGAACGGAGACACGGUCCAGACUCCUACGGGAGGCAGCAGUGGGGAAUAUUGGACCAUGGGCGAAAGCCUGAUCCAGCCAUGCCGCGUGUGUGAAGAAGGUCUUCGGAUUGUAAAGCACUUUAAGUUGGGAGGAAGGGCAGUAAGUCAAUACCGUGCUGUUUUGACGUUACCAACAGAAUAAGCACCGGCUAACUUCGUG
rnacentral:rRNA from 1 species